rnacentral:rRNA from 1 species
UGGGGAAUUUUGGACAAUGGGGGCAACCCCUGAUCCAGCAAUGCCGCGUGAGUGAAGAAGGCCUUCGGGUUGUAAAGCUCUUUUGUCAGGGAAGAAACGGUAGUAGCGAAUAACUAUUACUAAUGACGGUACCUGAAGAAUAAGCACCGGCUAACUACGUGCCAGCAGCCGCGGUAAUACGUAGGGUGCAAGCGUUAAUCGGAAUUACUGGGCGUAAAGCGUGCGCAGGCGGUUGUGUAAGUCAGAUGUGAAAUCCCCGGGCUCAACCUGGGAAUUGCAUUUGAGACUGCACGGCUAGAGUGUGUCAGAGGGGGGUAGAAUUCCACGUGUAGCAGUGAAAUGCGUAGAUAUGUGGAGGAAUACCGAUGGCGAAGGCAGCCCCCUGGGAUAACACUGACGCUCAUGCACGAAAGCGUGGGGAGCAAACAGGAUUAGAUACCCACGUAGUCCCUGAGCGGGCUGGCAAGGCGCAU